UUGUUUUGUUUUCUGGUUUUCCGCUUGUUUUUGAGCUAAACUGAUGACUGACGCUGCUAAACGUUAGAAUKUAAUCGUUCAAUUACAGGAAGUACACGUGCCAUUUAUUUUACCCACUUGUUGAAGUUUCGUAUCAUUGACUAGAAAAGUUUUACAAGUUUGUUUCCCCAAAAGCCUGAAAUUGUCGGAAGAGGGCGCCAGAAGCACACUAAUAAUUUUGAAGAAUUGAACGACUCGAUGUGCCUCAGGCUGGUCUCUUUGGUCCGAUGGCUCCCAGCAGGUUGUUUCGCCCACGCACCCUGUCAUUUCAUCAGACAGAAACGGGUGGUAGAUGGAUCGCAAUGUGAGGAAGCACAACAACUAAGCAAACAUGGCACAAGAAGGAAACCUGCAGAGACAAACCAUAAUCUAAUUUAGCAAGUGCCUGUAAUCUAAUGUCUUUUAGAGCAGCAGUGUCUUGUUAACGCUUGCUGAUAAUAAAAAGAGUUGCAAAAGUA